rnacentral:lncRNA from 1 species
CUCCAAACCGCCGGAAACUUGAGUAACAUCGCUCAAGUUACGAUCAUAUUCAAAGAUCAGGGAAUCUCCCACGUGGUACUCGGGACGGUCGGUCCAGGUGUCGUCUUCCUUAGCGGUCCAUCCAUCGGAGCCUCCCACUAUGUGGACCGUUGCCGAACAACAACCCAACAUAACCGUGAAGGUUGUUAUCACGAGCAACACGAAGCCGAAGAUUGUUUUGGCCAUGGUUAGAGGAAAAAAAUGAGAAGCGAAGAAGAAAAAUUGUGGUGAGAUCACGAACUAGCAAAACAGAGAGAUAGUAAUUGUGUUGUGUUGAUGAAUGAUGAGUUGUGAAGAGAGCGUAGCCUAUCACUAUUUAUAUAAAGUUUUGUAACUCCUAAUCUUUCUAUGAUUUUGUUUUGUAUAUUCACCUCUAUCUUCAAUAAAAAAAACACGGUUUGAGAUCUCUUCUAGCUAAGUCUAGAGGAAAAAAAAACGGUUUAAGAUCUUCUCAAUAAUAAAUCUAGAGGAAAACAAAUAAAAGAAGAUCUUUUCUAAUUAUGUUUAUCUUUCUUCUUAUUAUUGAAAUUAAUCAAAAAGUUAUAAUUGGAUAUCUAUUUUUCGUUUUUAUGAAACAACAUAUAUCUUUUAUCAAGUUAUUUUUAAUUUGCGUCAAAAAAAAAACCAAGUUAUUAUCAAUUUUAGGAAUAAUUUUCAAUUUUCAAAUGCUGUUUUUUUUCUUUUUUUUUUUCUUAAGCCUGCCUUUUAACUUUUUUUUUCUUAGUUUUAUUAGGUUAUUAUACAUGUCUAAACCCUCUUUCUCUUAAUCACUUCUCUCUCUCAACACGUCCGGUUUAGACAUGUUGAUAUAAUUAAAAUGAGGACGAGUUUUCUGAUUAACCGGAAUCUUCUUCCCGUUUUUUUGUUCUCUGUUUUUUCGAUCAUUUUUUAAUCUUUAAAUCAAAUUUGUUUUCCGCUUUGGCGGAUUAAUCUUUGAUUUAUUUUAGCAUGUUUUCUUCUAAGUUUGGUCUUUUAGUUUUAUCAUGUAAAAUCUUAAAUCUAAUCCUACAAAUUAUCAAUUGGUUCUCUUUUGAUCAUAAGUUUGCUUAACUCUUGGUUAAAUGAUAAAGUAAUAUUUUCGUCAAAAAUUAUUUCGUUAUUAUACGAAGUUUGAUCUUAGGUCAUAAGGCGGAGCUUCUAUCUUUGAGAUUUCGAGUUAAAAAGUACAGGAUUUGAAUUUUCAAUACCAAAAAGCUUGAGACGUUCCCAAUUGAUGAGACGGUUUAAAAUUGUAAAAGGAUUUUCAAGUGGAUCUUCUUGGUGGUAAAGCGGUGAUAAGAUGGAUACGAACAGAGCUUACGGUAAAAGAUGGUCUAGCUUGAUUAAGCAAGUAGGACUCCGCAAGGCUCUCAAGGACUCUUAAAAGUUUGAUUCGUUUGAAGCCAUAUGUUGUGAACUUUAUGCGCUGCGAGGUGGAGAACAGUUUUCAUGCUUCAUUCUGGUUUGACCGUUGGACUGCCCAUGGUCCCCUGAUUAGCUAUUUAGGUGCGAAUGGGCCAAGGGAUUUAGGAGUCACGAGAGAAGCUCUUGUUGCUGAGGCAACUAGAAAUGGAGAUUGGUGGAUGACGGGUGCUCGAUCUGAGGUGCAACAACAACUAACGAUCACAAUCACAACCAUUACUCCCAUUAUCUCAAAUGGACAUGAUAUUUAUCUAUGGUGUCGAUUGUCAGGAAAUUUGCUGAAAUUUGGCAUAAGGGAUUAUGGUUCACUCAUGCGACACCAAAAUACUCCUUUUUCACUUGGCUUUCUAUGAAGAAUCGUUUAUCAAACGGAGACCUAAUGUAGACUUGGAUCUCGGGUUCAAUGUCUAUUUGUGUUUUAUGCCAAAAUCACUUGGAGAUAAGGCACCAUCUGUUUUUUACAUGUCGCUACUCGUAAGAAGUUUGGAAAAUGCUUAUGCAGCCCCUACUUCAACGUCACUUCUCAACGGAUUGGCGGAAAAUAGUCACAUGCAUCUCAAACUCUCCGUUGGAAAAGAUACACACCUUCUUGGUACGUUACAGUUUGCAAAUAGCAAUCCACUCGAUAUGAAGAGAAUGUAAUGGGCAGAGGCAUGGAGAGCAUCAAACUUCAGCGACGCAACUGCCAUAUGGAUUGAGAAACAGAUUCGUAAUAAACUCUCUGCAUCUAGACACUAAGUCAAAAUUCAUGUAUUUCUAUUUUUCUAGUUUUUCACUAAACGUUUACAUAACUAUGUACCCAAAAAAGCUAUUUUUUUUUAAUAUAAUUUAACAUUACAUUAAAAAAAAAAUUUUUUUUGUUGAAUUCUUCUCUUCUAAAGAAAUUCGGAAGCAAUUAAGAAUUCACUCUCCUUUGUCGCCUUGGAGCAAGGUGGUCUGGUUCAAGUUAACGGUACCACGAUUCUCCUUUAUUACAUGGCUGUUGGGGUCGGAUUUCAUCCUUUGGCGCCGAGCCAGACUUAGAGCACCUCGGGAGUUUUUUAGUGAUCACCUCGGGGCAUCGCAUCAUUCACCUCGGGUUAUCCAUCUAAUCAGUUUAGGGUACCCGAGCCCAUCGCCUCGGGGGUACCCGAGCCCAUUGCCUCGGGGUAUCCGAGCCCAUUGCCUCGGGGUACCCGAGCCCAUUGCCUCGGGGUACCCGAGCCCAUUGCCUCGGGGUACCCGAGCCCAUUGCCUCGGGGGUACCCGAACAAGUCAUCCUAGAGUACCCGAGCCAGUCCUUCCUGUGUACCCGAGCCGAUUGCGCAAGUUUUCCGAGGCGAAGUCUUCAUCAUCAUCCGAGGUAAAGACUUAGUUAAUAUUCGUCUUCAAAGUAUCAUUUCCAAGCAAGGCAUCAUUUCCGAAAAAGAAGGAUCAUUUCCGAUAAACCCGGAAAUGAUAAAGAAGAAUCACGAAGGAUCAACUCAAAUCAGGAAAUCUUCCAAAAGACUCCGAAGAAUAAGGAAACUAUCCUAAUCCGCGAUAUUCUGCGCCGACUUCAAGAUAAAUGGAAAUCUUCCGAGAAUAUCACUGGAGAGGCGGUUUAUCACCCUUAUAUAAAGAGACUCAAGGCUCUCGCAGAUGGGGAGGGGCUCUAGAAUUCAUACUACACAAAGCUCUUUAGCACAAACACCUUUUUUCUUUUACGAUCAGACUCUUGUACGAUCAAAGCUAUCUUUUUCUCAAUAAUAUCAAGAACACCAUCUUUGGUUUCAAUCUGUUCUGUCGUUCUUUGAGAAUUCUCGCAAAUCGUAUCCCUAAAUUAAAACCCUAGACAAAUCUUGAUUGUGUUAGUUUCGACUUCCACAGUUUGGCGCCGUCUGUGGGGAAUACUUCAGAAUUCUCUUACCCUAAGAGCGCGAGACUCGAAUACCAGAGAGGAUGGUAAACGAAGACGAUCGUCAGAUACCGCCAGCCGGAGGAGGGAACCCCAAUGCUCCGAACCCUCAAAAUCCUCAAGCCGAUCCAACGAUUACAGCGACCCUAGCCGAACUGAAAGAUAUGAUGGUUAAAUUCCAGAAGAAAGCUAACGAUCAAGAGAAAGCUAACAAAACCUUGGCGCAGCGAAUCGACGAAAUCGCAACCCGUGGGCAACAAAAAACCACGCGUUUCCAGACUCGGCCGCCACGAGCCCGGAGGGACUUUCCUGGCAUCAACCCAACAAGACUCACGUUCGCGACACCAACCGACAACACCAGAAUCACGACCCGAGCCGACCUUGCCAGACGCGAGAGUCAAGAUGAGCCCACCGAGCCAGACGCAGCGGACUUGACGAACGAGCCGGAUGAUUUGUAAGACGAGCGCAUCCGAGCCGGAGCUAACUCCGCCGAGCGAACCGACCUCACUGAUGACGAAGAAACCGAGGAAAACAUAAGGUGGGCCGAAGAAUCCGAAAGAGAAGACGAGCUAAGCAAGAUCCGAGCCUCCCUAGCCAAGGCGGAAGCUGAUAUGAAGCUCGUCAAAACCUAGAUACAUAGCAUUUCGUCCUCCGCAUCGAACAUCGACCGAAUUUUGGAAGAGUCUUGAAAAACUUUUAUGUUUUCUUAGACAGAACAUAUCUACCUAAAUCAUUCUCACUCAUUAAGUAAAGACUCGUAUAUAUAACUAAAAAAAAUGUGUCAAUAAACUGAUAAUCGGUUUAUUGACACAUUUGUUUUAGUUAAAGUUACUAACACAUGUAUAGCUAAAAUCAGCAAGAUCUAUAAAAUGGAUUAAAAACAGAGCAGAGUAAUUAGCAGAGACUAACAAGAAUCUUUGUUUAACACGAUAAAAGAUUUUCAUCUACACUACCCCACAUGUUUGUUUAACUCCAUAAAAAAUGUUAGAAAGUUGACGAACAGAGUAAUUAGCAGAGACUAACAAGAAUCUACUAAUGGUAAACAAACUAGAGGAACUAGAACAAGAGUAUUUUACCUGUAAUAUGAUGCUUCUAUGUUUGUUUAUGUUGUCGGAAUGAGAACUCAAGUGGAAGAACAGAACUAAGAGGAUAGAAGAACAAAGAGUGUAGUUGACGUUUGUAAGAGGGAGGAUUCAGAUUUUUGGGUUUAGUUUUCAAUAAAAUUCAAACAUAAUGCAGAUAAUGAAACCAAAACUAGAGUUAUUUCACCUCUUGUUGUAUUGAAUAAAAUAUUCUCACCAAUCUACUCCAAUAAAAUAAAAUUUAUUAUAACAAUGGGAAGAAACUCCACAGUUUUUACAUGAGUGAAAAAUAAGAACCAAAGAAACGAAGCAAGAGAGAAAAAAAAAGUAAGAAAGAAGAGCGAUGUUUAACUAGUAAUUGAUUAGAGAACCAUAAUUAGUUAAUCUCAAACCAAAACGGAAACGAAAGUGCAUAUGCUUAACUACUUGAUACAGACGCUUAGUGAUGAUUGAACAUGAAAGAGUCUAACCACCUUGUGAGACGUUCUAAAGGUGACAACUUUGGAACAUUGGCUGUUGGUCCAACCACAACUUGGAGCUUAAGUCCAGCCUCACAGUGACCUGGUUCUGAGCUAAUGAAAUAAUGGAUUCCUGGUUCGGUGAGCUUGACGAGAUCGUGGCCUGUCUUGUGCACGGCUACGGGAGAAAUCGGGUCGCAGUAUAGGAAUUCAAGGUCGCCGCUGAUCUCGAAGACAUCAUUGACUUUGUUGUUGUAUUCGAAAAGGAGACUGUCUCCAACAUGGAACUGUUUCUCUUUACUCCACUGGUAAUAGAACUCACUGUCGUAAACGCUCCAUCUUUUGGAGUCGCCUACCUUGUAGAUAUUUCCAGACGGAAGAAUCUUGCUCGGUGAUUUUGGAGGAAUCGGACUCGACGGGUCAUGGGUAACAAGAACGUCCAGCUUCUGUCCCGAUGUACAUUGAGUAUGGUUUGAGGUGAUGAAGUAGUAAGACCCUGGUUCCUUCAAAGUUACAACAUCGUGGCCUGUGUUGUAGACGGCUUUAGGGAAAGAAGAGUCGCAGAAUUCGUACUCCAAACCGCCGGAAACUUGAGUAACAUCGCUCAAGUUACGAUCAUAUUCAAAGAUCAGGGAAUCUCCCACGUGGUACUCGGGACGGUCGGUCCAGGUGUCGUCUUCCUUAGCGGUCCAUCCAUCGGAGCCUCCCACUAUGUGGACCGUUGCCGAACAACAACCCAACAUAACCGUGAAGGUUGUUAUCACGAGCAACACGAAGCCGAAGAUUGUUUUGGCCAUGGUUAGAGGAAAAAAAUGAGAAGCGAAGAAGAAAAAUUGUGGUG